AGAUGUUGCUCAACUCAGACAUCUUCUGGAAGCCCCAGGAGGCUGUGCAGGGAGAUGUGGGUUCCUUCGUGCUGAAGUUAGUGGAGGGCCUUCAGGGCCAGACCUGGGCCCCAGACUGGGUGGAGGAGCUGCGGGAAGCCGACCGGCAGAAGGAGCAGACCUUUCGGGAGAAGGCAGCGAUGCCUGUGGCCCAGCACCUGAACCCAGUGCAGGUGCUGCAGCUGGUGGAGGAAACGCUACCUGACAACUCAAUUCUGGUGGUGGAUGGCGGGGACUUCGUGGGCACUGCUGCCCAUCUGGUACAGCCCCGCGGCCCCCUGCGCUGGCUCGAUCCUGGUAAGGAAGGGCCCCCGCCUGGGGCAGUGGGCACCAUCCAUCAGGACGCCUUCACACCCACCUGCUCUUGGUCCUCUUAGGGGCCUUUGGGACUCUGGGAGUUGGUGCAGGAUUUGCACUUGGGGCCAAGCUGUGCCGGCCAGAUGCUGAGGUGAGGCACUGGAGUUGGGAGACUUGCUGCUCUCUAGGCCCUGAUCCACCCUAACCAUCCUGGGUCCCCUCCCGACUAGGUCUGGUGCCUGUUUGGGGACGGAGCUUUUGGCUACAGCCUCAUCGAAUUUGAUACAUUCGUCAGACACAAGGUGACUGGGCUGGCCUGAGGGAAGCUUAGGGCCUGGGGUUCUGGGAGAUGUCACCAGGGGUGGGCUGAGGUGGGGAGGGAGCCUCCUCUCUGGCAGAGGCCCUAUCCCUGUCUCUGUCCUCUGGCUGGCCAAGCCAUGGGGCUGAAGGCUGCGGCCUGCCUUCAUCUUCUUCCUGUAGAUCCCAGUGAUGGCCUUGGUAGGGAAUGAUGCUGGCUGGACACAGAUUUCUCGGGAGCAGGUGCCCUCUCUGGGCAGCAACGUGGCCUGUGGCCUGGCCUACACUGGUGAGGGG
rnacentral:sRNA from 1 species